rnacentral:tRNA from 1 species
AGUUGCCCAACGUGGGGCUCGAACCCACGGCCCUGAGAUUAAGAGUCUCAUUUAAGUCCUUUGUUCCAAUAAAACAAAAC